CGGAUUUACUGGGCGUAAAGGGCGCGUAGGCGGUGCGAUAAGUCAGGCGUGAAAGCCCCGGGCUCAACCCGGGAAUAGCGCUUGAUACUGUUGCGCUUGAGUCCAGGAGAGGAUGGCGGAAUUCCCAGUGUAGAGGUGAAAUUCGUAGAUAUUGGGAAGAACACCAGUGGCGAAGGCGGCCAUCUGGCCUGGAAUUGACGCUGAGGCGCGAAAGCGUGGGGAGCAAACAGG
rnacentral:rRNA from 1 species